rnacentral:rRNA from 1 species
UUGAUCCUGGCUCAGAAUGAACGCUGGCGGCAUGGCUAAGACAUGCAAGUCGAACGGACUUUAUGAUUGGGUAACCUUGAAUAAAGUUAGUGGCGAAAGGGUGAGGAAUAGAUAGGAACGUGCCUUUGGCUUCGGAAUAGCGUCCCGAAAGGGGCGGUAAUACCGGAUAACGUCUACGGACCAAAGAUUUAUCGGCCUUAGAGCGGCCUAUCUCCUAUCAGCUUGUUGGUGGGGUAAUGGCCUACCAAGGCAACGACGGGUAGCGGGACUGAGAGGUUGGCCCGCCACAUCGGGACUGAGACACUGCCCGGACCUCCACGGAGGGCUGCAGUAACGAAUAUUGGGCAAUGGGCGAAAGCCUGACCCAGCAAUGCCGCGUGUAGGAUGAAGCCCCUCGGGGUGUAAACUACUGUCAGGGGUUAGAAAGCUACGGUUGAUCAACCCCAGAGGAAGUCACGGCUAACUUCGUGCCAGCAGCCGCGGUAAUACGAAGGUGGCGAGCGUUAUUCGGAAUUACUGGGCUUAAAGCGCACGCAGGCGGAAUAUUUAGCGUCUUGUGAAAUCCCCCGGCUUAACCGGGGAAUUGCAGGGCGAACUGGUAUUCUUGAGGCAAGUAGGGGUGCAUGGAACUCUUGGUGGAGCGGUGGAAUGCGUAGAUAUCAAGAGGAACGCCGAUGGUGAAGACAGUGCACUGGGCUUGUCCUGACGCUGAGGUGCGAAAGCGUGGGGAGCGAACGGGAUUAGAUACCCCGGUAGUCCACGCCGUAAACGAUGCCUACUAGGUCGUGGUUGUUCUGACACACUCACGGUCGAAGCAAAAGUGUCUAGUAGGCCGCCUGCGGAGUACGGUCGCA